GGCGGUGUGCCCGAGUGGCCAAUGGGAGCGGACUGUAAAUCCGUCGGCUUAGCCUACCCAGGUUCGAAUCCUGGCGCCGCC
rnacentral:tRNA from 1 species